rnacentral:rRNA from 1 species
CGUGAAAUUGUUGAAAGGGAAGCGCUCAUGACCAGACUUGGGCUUGGUUGAUCAUCCAGGGUUCUCCCUGGUGCACUCUUCCAGCCCAGGCCAGCAUCAGUUCGCUGUGGGGGCUAAAGGCUUU